UACAGAGGUGGCAAGUGUUGUUCGGAUUUACUGGGCGUAAAGGGUCCGCAGGCGGCUUUGUGUGUCAGAUGUGAAAGCCCACGGCUUAACCGUGGAAUGGCAUUUGAAACUACAGAGCUAGAGUACAGGAGAGGAGAGGGGAAUUCAUGGUGUAGCGGUGAAAUGCGUAGAUAUCAUGAAGAACACCGGUGGCGAAAGCGCCUCUCUGGACUGAUACUGACGCUCAUGGACGAAAGCCAGGGGAGCAAAGAGG
rnacentral:rRNA from 1 species